GGAGGGUGCGAGCGUUAUUCGGAAUUACUGGGCGUAAAGCGCGUGUAGGCGGGGAUGCAAGUCUGAUGUGAAAGCCCUAGGCUUAACCUGGGAAGUGCAUUGGAAACUGCAUUUCUUGAGUACUGGAGAGGGAGGUGGAAUUCCAGGUGUAGCGGUGAAAUGCGUAGAUAUCCGGAGGAACACCAGUGGCGAAAGCGGCUUUCUGGACCACAACUGACGCUCAGACGCGAAAGCUAGGGUAGCAAACGGGAUUAGAGACCCCGGUAGUCCUAGCCCUAAACGAUGUAGACUAGGCGUCGGAAGCUUAAUCGCUUUCGGUGUCCAAGCUAACGCGAUAAGUCUACCGCCUGGGGACUACGGCCGCAAGGUUAAAACUCAAAGGAAUUGACGGGUCCCCGCACAAGCAGCGGAGCGUGUGGUUUAAUUCGUUGCUACACGAAGAACCUUACCUGGGUUUGACAUAGCAGUGGUAGGGAAGCGAAAGCGGACCGACCCUUCGGGGAGCUGUUACAGGUGUUGCAUGGCUGUCGUCAGCUCGUGUCGUGAGAUGUUCGGUUAAGUCCGCUAACGAGCGCAACCCGCGUUGUGUGUUACAAGUGUCACACAAUACCGCCGGUAUUAAGUCGGAGGAAGGUGCGGAUGACGUCAAGUCAGCAUGACCUUUAUAUCCAGGGCUACACACACGCUACAAUGGUCAGCACAAUAGGUUGCCAAGUCGUGAGACGGAGCCAAUCCUCCAAAGCUGGCCUCAGUUCAGAUUGCAGGCUGCAACUCGCCUGCAUGAAGUUGGAGUUGCUAGUAACCGCAGGUCAGCUAUACUGCGGUGAAUACGUUCCCGGGGAUUUU
rnacentral:rRNA from 1 species